GACGAACGCUGGCGGCGUGCCUAACACAUGCAAGUGGAGCGACGAACCAGGCUUCGGCCUGGGGCAAAGCCGCGAACGGGUGAGUAACACGUGGGUAACCUGCCCUGAUGAUUGGGACAACCCGAGGAAACUCGGGCUAAUACCAAAUGUGCCCUUCGGCCACAAGGCCGCUGGGGAAAGGAAGCUUCGGCCUCCGCAUCUGGAUGGGCCCGCGGCCCAUUAGCUUGUUGGUGAGGAACGGCUCACCAAGGCGACGAUGGGUAGCUGGUCUGAGAGGACGAUCAGCCACACUGGGACUGAGACACGGCCCAGACUCCUACGGGAGGCAGCAGUGGGGAAUCUUGCGCAAUGCGCGAAAGCGUGACGCAGCAACGCCGCGUGGGGGAAGACGGCCUCGGUU
rnacentral:rRNA from 1 species